UAAUCACUUGUCUUUCAAAUGAAGACCUGUAUGAAUGGCAUUACGAGGGCUCAACUGUCUCCUUUUUCCAGUCAGUGAAAUUNACCUGCUCGUGCAGAGGCGAGCAUAACCCCAUAAGACGAGAAGACCCUAUGGAGCUUAAAACACAAGAUCAACUAUGCUAUCAAGCCAACCACCUACGGAAAUAACAGCUAAAAGCACAAUAGUACUAUGAUCCUAAUGUUUUCGGUUGGGGCGACCACGGAGGACAAAAAAGCCUCCAUGUCGACGGGGGCACUGCCCCUAAAACCUAGGGCGACAGCCCAAAGCAACAGAACAUCUGACGAACAAUGACCCAGGCCAAAGCCUGAUCAACGAACCAAGUUACCCUAGGGAUAACAGCGCAAUCCUUUCUGAGAGUCCA
rnacentral:rRNA from 1 species